rnacentral:rRNA from 1 species
UACGUAGGGUGCGAGCGUUGUCCGGAAUUACUGGGCGUAAAGGGCGCGUAGGCGGCACUGUUAGUCAGGCGUGAAAUUCCUGGGCUCAACCUGGGGACUGCGCUUGAUACGGCAGAGCUUGAGGAUGGAAGAGGGUCGCGGAAUUCCCAGUGUAGAGGUGAAAUUCGUAGAUAUUGGGAAGAACACCGGUGGCGAAGGCGGCGACCUGGUCCAUUACUGACGCUGAGGCGCGACAGCGUGGGGAGCAAACCGG